GCUGAUCCUGAGAAGCUCAGCUCCUGUCCACAUGCCUCCCCGAGGACCCCUGCGUGUGCGCCCCGCGGGGACGCCGCGUCUGUGUGCGUCGGGGGGCUCCGGCGAGCACCGCUGACCCGGAGGCACCUGCUCCAACCCCCGGGCACGUCGGGUCCGUGGGGGGCCGGUGUGGCUCUGAGCAGCGGCCACCCAGCCCGGAGAGGCCCCAGCAGCAGCGCGAGCUGACGGUCCCCUCUGGGAGACGGGGGAUGGCGAGGGUGGGGUGGGGUGAGGUGGGGGGUGCGGGGUGUGUGUGCGGGGGGGGGGGAUGUCACCGGGCCCGGCAGGGAAGCGUGGGCAUCUGCAGCCCCUGCUGCGGUGCCACGUGUCCCAGUUCUGUCCUGUCCGGGUGGGGUUCUACCCUGACCUUUGCCCGCGACCUUGGGGCCACGCGACAGGGUGGGAGACCGUCCUCUGAGUGUCCGUGGCCGAUCCGGCCUCAUCUGUCUUGGAAAGUGACUCUGGGACCAGGGGACUCCCGCGGGAAGCGGUUUGCAGCGUCCUGUGCAGCGAGCUGUGCUCCUGCGCGCGUCGGCGCGUGUCUGCUUCACUUUGGCUUUGGCACUGGGAAGUCAAGCUGUUUCCAGGGUCGCAUCCACCUACGUUGGAAAGUCUUUUGUGUAUCACCCCCCCACCCCGUUCAACUCAAAACAAUAAAAGUGGGUGUGGCCCGGACACGUCCACGUGGGUGUCACUUCCUGUGCGAUGGGGCCCUGUGGGCUGAAAGGUCUCUGCUAAGUGGUCCUCAGAUGAAAACUGAUCAGAGUCCCAUCAAAAUACUACAGCCCUUGAGCCAGGACAGUGAAAGAUGAGAGCGAGGAGGGGAUUCUCGUGCACUGCUGGUGGGCGUGGAACUUGGGGCAGCCCACCGUGGACGACACGAUGGAGAGUCCUCGGAAAACCGAAUGUAGAACUCCCACAUGACUCAGCAACCCCACGAAAGUCAAAUUCAAAAAGAAACGUGCACCCCCCAUGGUCACAGCAGCACUAGGCACAACAGCCGAGACGUGGCCGCCCCCUAAAUGGCCACCGACAGAGGAAUGGAUUAAGACGAUGUGGCCUGUAUACACCGUGGAAUAUUACUCAGCCGUAAAAAAGCACAAAAGCAUGCCACUGGCAGCAACGUGGAGGCAACCAGACAUUCUCAUACGAAGGCAGGCAAGUCAGACGGAGCAAGACACAUACCAUAGGCAAUCUCUUCUAUGUGGAAGCUAAACCACGGCACAAAGGAACCUCUCUACAAAACAGAGACGGACUCACGGACAUGGAGAACAGACUGGUGGUUGCCAAGCGGGAGGAGGAGGGAGUGGGCUGGAUGGGGGGUUUGGGGUUGGUAGAUGCGAACCAGGACAUUGCGGAUGGAGAGGCCACGAGGUCCUGCUGUGCGGCACAGGGACCUCUAGCCAGUCUCCUGGGAUGGACCCGGGUGGAGGAGACUCUGAGAAAGGGGAUGGAUACAUAUUAUGACGGGAUCACUUGGCUGCACAGCAGAAAUUGCCACACAUUGGGCAUCAACUCUACUUUGACAUUUUUUUAAAAAUAAAGUAAAAAUGUGUACCGGA
rnacentral:lncRNA from 1 species